rnacentral:sRNA from 1 species
GGGCUUCUGCUUCCGCGACCCCGGAGGUGCAGGGCGGGUGGAGUCGCGGAGUCGUCCUCAUGGCCGCCGCGCCGGAGCCCGGUGAACCCAAGGAGAGGAAGGUAGAAUUAGAAGAUCAUGUGAUGUUGGAGUAGGAGGGUUUAUCUUGGUGACUUUGGGAUGCUGGUUUCAUUGUAGGUAUAAUUAUGCAAAGCAAAGAAUCCAGGAAAGAAUUGCCAGAGAAGAAAUUAAAAAGAAGAUACUAUAUGAAGGUACCCACCUCGAUCCUGAAAGAAAACACAACGGCAGCAGCAGCAAUUGAACAAUCUUGAGCACAGAAGUCAAUGUAAAUGAAGUUAAGAUCAACCACAUAAAACAUUUCAUGUGCAAUAAACUCUCAAUCAAGUAAAUAAAGUUUAAGUUGUAGUCAUUUUUUUCCCACACUUGUAUGGAAUGAAAACUUGCCAGUUUAUUCUGGCCCUGUGUCUACUGCGAGGAUAGCAUUCUUACGUGUUACAUAUAGUGGACUUGUCAUCCUUAAAAUGCGAACAGAAUUUAUUGGCAGUGUGGCAAAGAAUUAUAAAACCUAGUGUUUAACGUACUUGGAAAGAGUUUCCUUGCAGUAACAAGUGUAGAGUUUAAUGAUAAGUAACCUUAACAAAAACCUCAACCUUAUUACUAUCCCAUUAAAAAGCAGCAAAUACUUACUGAUUUCUUGUAACAGCUAAUGUCAUUAUAAGAUUUAAAACUAAGGGAUUUUAUCACUUUGCAAAUUAUUUUUUAAAUGCAUUCAUCAUUUGACAGUGUUCUCUCAUUUCUUAAAAUGUGAGUCAUCUUCCAAAAGAGUUGUUUUUAACUGCCCUAAACAUUUUUGGGGAAGUAUGCAGGGUUUAAAUUUUUAAGUAUAAUUAGUUAUGAAUUUAAAUAUACACAUGGAACUUGUCUGGCAGACUGAUGCAACAGAAAAAUAACUGCAGAAUUACUAUUAAUGUAAACAAUCCAUUUGAAAGUCAAUCAGCUGCUCC